AGUCUACGGUUCCUAAUUUGGAUUAAAAAGGGAACGUGGGUACUCGCUAAUAAUUAUAUUGGUGAGCAGCCACGGCUGUCCCCGCAACUGUGUGUGGUGAGCUAGGAUACUCGAGAGCCACUGGCGAUUUUUUGAAUAAAUGGCCGGGAAGGCAGUGUCUGCAGCAUUGACCCACAAGCCAGGAGACCUGCCGAAGACA
rnacentral:ncRNA from 1 species